rnacentral:lncRNA from 1 species
CGUCAGUCAAUCACUCACCCACACACGGCAAUUACCGCAGGUCCCGCCCAUGGCCCCGCCACUUCCGCUGGCCGCAGGCUCCACCGCCUCCUGGAUCAAGCUCAGAACGCAUCGCCCGCAUCACCGACGCUGCCGCCCAAGGGACGGACCCGCUCUGUGACGCGCUUCCGCUUCCGGUCUGCAGAACGCCGCCCUGGGACACGGUGCCGCCCUCGCUGUGUGAUGCCAGCGCCCGCGUGAGGCACUGCACACCAGACUUCCGGUUGGCUUCAGCUCGCCAGCACUGCAGACUUCCGGUCUGCCAUCGGGGAUCGCGGGGAAAUAGAGUCGGGAAUUUCGCUUUCAAGUUCCAGUGCGCCCUACUUCCGCUUGGCUUCAGGUCGCCAGCGCAACCCGGUUCCCGUCAAGUCUGGCUCGGUGCAAAAGCAGCUCCCGGUUUCCAGUGACUGCUGCUCAGUCCCAGCAUUCCAGUCUUCCGGUCGGCUUCAGCACGCCCAUACUACCGACUUCCGGUUACGGACAAGCGGCUCCGCGCAUGCAAGUGAGCGGCUGUG